rnacentral:rRNA from 1 species
CCGGGGCGGGGUGCUUCCACAUGCAGUCGAACGGAAAGGCCCGCUUGCGGGUACUCGAGUGGCGAACGGGUGAGUAACACGUGGGUAACCUGCCCCCAUCUCUGGGAUAACCGUUGGAAACGGCGGCUAAUACCGGAUACGACCUUCUGCCGCAUGGUGGAAGGUGGAAAGUUUUUGCGGUUGGGGAGGGGCCCGCGGCCUAUCAGCUGGUUGGUGGGGUGAUGGCCUACCAAGGCGGUGACGGGUAGCCGGCCUGAGAGGGCGGUCGGUCACAUUGGGACUGAGAUACGGCCCAGACUCCUACGGGAGGCAGCAGUGGGGAAUUUUGCACAAUGGGCGCAAGCCUGAUGCAGCGACGCCGCGUGAGGGAUGACGGCUUUCGGGUUGUAAACCUCUUUUAUCCACCACGAAGGCGGUGUAUUCGCACCGUUGACGGUAGUGGUUGAAUAAGCGCCGGCUAACUACGUGCCAGCAGCCGCGGUAAGACGUAGGGCGCGAGCGUUGUCCGGAUUUAUUGGGCGUAAAGGGCUCGUAGGCGGCCCGCUGCGUCUGCCGUGAAAGGCCUCGGCUUAACCGGGGUUUUGCGGUGGAUACGGGCGGGCUUGAGGCAAGUAGGGGAAACUGGAAUUCUACGUGUAGCGGUGAAAUGCGCAGAUAUGUGGAGGAACACCGGUGGCGAAGGCGGGUUUCUGGGCUUGUUCUGACGCUGAGGAGCGAAAGCGUGGGGAGCGAACAGGAUUAGAUACCCUGGUAGUCCAUGCUGUAAACGGUGGGCGCUAGGUGUGGGGCCACGUUGGUUGGUUCUGUGCCGUAGCUAACGCAUUAAGCGCCCCGCCUGGGGAGUACGGCCGCAAGGCUAAAACUCAAAGGAAUUGACGGGGGCCCGCACAAGCGGCGGAGCAUGCGGAUUAAUUCGAUGCAACGCGAAGAACCUUACCUGGGUUUGACAUCACCCGGAAACCCCAGAGAUGGGGGCCUCUUCGGACUGGGUGACAGGUGUGCAUGGCUGUCGUCAGCUCGUGUCGUGAGAUGGUUGGGUUAAGUCCCGCAACGAGCGCAACCCUUAUCCCGGGGGUGAGUCGUAACAGGUAGCCGUAGGGACCUGCGUGAAACACACCUUCUAUUUA